rnacentral:lncRNA from 1 species
GGAGUGUCACCAUCUUCCCUUCAUGGGCUGUAUCUCUUCCUCUACACAAUAUUUCUGAUGUGUCAUGUGUGUGAGCAGAUCAACAGCUUUGCCUGCAGGAAUCCAGAGAGGUGUAAUGCAGGAGAUGCAUUCUGCAUCACCGUGGGUACCAGGCUGAGCAAUCGCUACUUGCUCAUUUCCAAGCAGUGCCAUAAGUUCUGCCCAUUUUUGGAAUACUAUUACCAAAAGUUUUCACAUGAGAAAGAAGGUCCAAAUGCAUUUGUCUAUUCCCAUUGUUGUGCUGAGAAUUUAUGCAAUGUUGGCAUCCCCUCCAUCUCUGAGAGUGACACAGACAUCUAUAGCCAAUAUACUGUUCAAGGCAUUGCUCACCUCAGGGCCAGCAAUAUGGGGCUGGUGAUAUUUCUAAGCUUCCUGCCUGUCCUGCUCCAGGUAAGAAUGUGAUCUGAAGGAUCCCCCAACCCACAAAGCCCUAGAAAUGGUCCCCACACUCGGUCUCUAGAAGCAGCGGUUCUUGAUAGUGAGGCCAUGCCCUGUUGGAGAGGUCAUGAGUCCUACUGAUCUGGUAGCUUUCUCCCCUCUCCCCACUCCCAUUCCCACUCCCACACCAUCGAGGCAUUGACAGGGGAAGGAGGGCUGAAAGCAAAAGCCAAAAAUGCUGACUUCCAGGCCUUUGG